UAGAGGUAUAAGAAAGUGUGUUCCCAGGA
rnacentral:piRNA from 1 species